CUAUGGGUGCAUCGUGGGAGCCCUAAGGGAGGAGCUCUAGGGCCUGGAGUCCUAGCCUGUCUUCUUUGAAGCUCAUUUGUCAGCAUCAGAUGAGGAUAAUGACAGGAUUCCCACCACUUCACGGGAGUUCAAAGGAACUAAAUGAGCAGGUUUUGAAAACCAGUGUGAGGGGCGAGUACUGAUAAACGUUUAAUAAGCCUGUGAAGCAUUGAAUACAGGCAAUCAAAGGGGGAAACUGAGGCUCACAGAGGCUAAGGAUCCCCUUCUGUGACGCGCACAUUUUGGAUUUUAUGCUGGGGUGGAGGUAUGUGGACACAAAGCCAAACAUUCAGAUGAAGUUUGAACAGCCAUCCAGACAUUUCCAAAUAACUUCAGAGCUGGCACUGUACAGAAAACCAGUGACUGUCCUCAGCCUUUCUAAAGAUACCAAGAAGGAAACUUCCUACAUCCAAGGCCACAUUCAAGACCAAAGAAGCAAGAAGUUCAAAAAACCUCUCGCACUGUCAUCGACGUUGUUUGACAGAAAGAGAUACCUACUCUUUGUCAGAAGCAUUUAAAAAAAAUCUUGGGUGUUUGACACAGAGGCCCUGAAUUCUCUUUAAAACAAAAGGAAAGCACUAUUCCAGAAUACAAUCCGAUAAACUGUAAGUCAUAUCUGGAUUGUUUCCAAAGGUGGCAAAAAGGGACUCCAGACCCUCAUCUUAAAUAAUCCCAAAAGGCCCUGCACGCCCAGAGCCCCUCUCCAUCACAGGUGGGUAGCAACUCAGGCUCUGCUCACUGGAACCCAGUCAAGGAGACUGGAAUGCCAUGUCUUCAUUCAUAACGCUGUCCCGUGGAAUUAUUUUUUCCGGAUUCCUGGGGAAGUUAAAGAAUUUGAGGAGAAUAUCAGGAACUGUUGUUUCAGCUUGUUUUGUGAGCAGAUAAUUGCCUUCCAACUCCAUUACUUCAGGAAGUGAUGUGUGCAGCAUUGUUUCUGAUGGAGGAGGUGCUGCGUUUCGGCCAGACAUACCAAGCACAUUGAAACCAAGCCAGGAGCGAGGAGUAAGUAAGUCACCUCCUUGAACUCAGACUUCUGAGUCCACUUUGCAGAUAAGGCAGCCCCAGACAACCUGACCACAUGCCAACCUCGUUAUUUUGAAAGGGUGGAAGCACAACUUGUUUUCGGGAACGAGAAAUUUCACUAAAAUUACUAAAUGUGGUCAUCAAAACAUUUGGUAGAUGAAGUGCUAUCAAAAUGGCUUCAGCAGAAACUUACUUGGAAGGCCAAACUUCUCUCUCGUUUGGGUCUGAAUCAAAAGCCAGCCUGGGAAACUAGAAGCAAAACACGUUUUGUCCUGAGCAAUACCUUUGAUCCUAUGGAACAUAUUAGCCAAUCUUCCUGAAGUGUGACCUCAUUUGUGGCACCAGCUGUGUGGGUGUGCCAUCUAAGGAUUUAGAAAACUCGUCUUUCUUCAGCUUUAAUGUGUAUUUUAAGACUGCAGAAAGCAGUCUAAUCCAGCUAAGUGCUCCAAGGGGAACUGUUACAGACUUCAACUUAAGAAGCUUAAAGUUCUUAUGGCUGUGAUCUAUCAACCUUUCAAUAGUUAUUACAAAGUCAUUCCCAAAUGGGCACUGGGAACCCAUGAUUGUGAUGAUAAAAUUGUUAUGGAGCAAACAUAAAUAUCACACCUACGUUGUCAGAUCCUUCUAAACUUAUACACAUUAGCUCAUCUAAACGUCAAAUUUAUGAUGUACUGUGAUGUAUUAUGUAUUGGUUCUUUUGCUAACUCAAGUGUACAAAGAAGGAAACCGAGGCACAGAGAGGUUAAGUGACUUGUCAACGGUCACUCAACCAGCCAAGAACAGAUGUAGGAUUUGAGCUCCCACUCCCAUGAUUUCCUCCUCUAUAUCGUCUCUCAUGGUUCUCAGUUUUGUCUUAACUCAGUUAUAAUACACUAGUCAAAUAUUGUCUUAGCCAAGGCCAUUAACUGUACUCUGUCAAGAAAUGAGAAGUACUGAUUUUUUACCUAGAGACUUAUUUUUAAUAGAAUCAGCACAGCCCUAUUCCGACUCAACAUGCAGUUGCUGUGGGGAGGCUCUGUUUUCCCUCAAGCAGUAGGCUUACUGUUAUUUGGCAAGUGAUCUAUCUGCUCCACUACUUGAAGGGGUUGCUUUUAAGGAUCUCUGCCUAAAACUAUCACUCAACAGUUUAUCUUUCAAUGUUGUAAUGCAUUAUCUUCCAAUGCUUUUAAAAAACCCAUUACCAAAUGUAGUCACGCUAUUGAGAAAUGCCUCGAUUCUUUUGUAUUACACUUAUAAAUAGCAGGAGUGAAGAUGUCUAGGUGAAAGGAAUGCUGGGUUACAGCAUAUUCUACCCAUCCAUUUACUCACUAAUCCAUUCACCCGACGAAGGACUCGCCCAUCCAUCCACCUUGAUACCCAGGUGUUCGUUCAUCCAUCUAUCAAUCCACCCACCCCAUUCCUGACAUCAACCCACACAAUGAAUACCGUUUUUCAGGCAUUGAGAAUACAGAGUGGAUCAGACGAGCAUGCUGUUCAUACAGCUGAUAUGUUAGUGGUUGAAAUAGUAAAUAAGAACCACAGGACUGGGGGACGGGUCUGAGAAGGCUGUCUAGGGAGGUCGCAUUUGUGAAGAGAGCUAAUGAAAGUGAGAGAUGGAUUCUUGAUAGAACCUGGGG
rnacentral:lncRNA from 1 species